rnacentral:rRNA from 1 species
CCAGCACCCCGAGUGGUCGGGACGUUUAUUGGGCCUAAAGCAUCCGUAGCCGGUUCUGCAAGUCUUCCGUUAAAUCCACCUGCUUAACAGAUGGGCCGCGGAAGAUACUAUAGAGCUAGGAGGCGGGAGAGGCAAGCGGUACUCGAUGGGUAGGGGUAAAAUCCGUUGAUCCAUUGAAGACCACCAGUGGCGAAGGCGGCUUGCCAGAACGCGCUCGACGGUGAGGGAUGAAAGCUGGGGGAGCAAACCGGAUUAGAUACCCGGGUAGUCCCAGCUGUAAACGAUGCAGACUCGGUGAUGAAUUGGCUUUAUGCCUAUUCAGUGCCGCAGGGAAGCCGUUAAGUUUGCCGCCUGGGGGAGUACGGUCGCAAGACUG